UACGUAGGGUGCAAGCGUUGUCCGGAAUUAUUGGGCGUAAAGAGCUCGUAGGCGGCUUGUUGCGUCGGCUGUGAAAACCCGCAGCUCAACUGUGGGCUUGCAGCCGAUACGGGCAGGCUUGAGUUCGGUAGGGGAGACUGGAAUUCCUGGUGUAGCGUUGAAAUGCGCAGAUAUCAGGAGGAACACCGGUGGCGAAGGCGGGUCUCUGGGCCGAUACUGACGCUGAGGAGCGAAAGCGUGGGGAGCGAACAGG
rnacentral:rRNA from 1 species